rnacentral:ncRNA from 1 species
GAGUUUCGUCAGAACACUCCUCCUCCCAGUUCUGACGGAUACGACCGGCUCCUCCUCCUCCCAAAAGCCGGUCAUCCCAAAACGACACCCGCCGAACCCCUGACGGAUACGACCGGCUCCUCCUCCUCCCAAAAGCCGGUCAUCCCAAAACGACACCCGCCGAACCUCCUCCCUCGGCGGGUGUUGUUU